rnacentral:rRNA from 1 species
CUACCAUGCAGUCGCACGAGAAAGGGUAGCAAUACCUGAGUACAGUGGCGCACGGGUGAGUAACACGUGAAUCAUCUACCUCCGAGUGGGGAAUAACUGAGAGAAAUCUUAGCUAAUACCGCAUAACACUUACGAGUCAAAGCAGCAAUGCGCUUGGAGAGGAGUUCGCGGCAGAUUAGUUAGUUGGCGGGGUAAUGGCCCACCAAGACGAUGAUCUGUAUCCGGCCUGAGAGGGCGCACGGACACACUGGAACUGAAACACGGUCCAGACUCCUACGGGAGGCAGCAGUGGGGAAUUUUGCGCAAUGGGGGAAACCCUGACGCAGCAACGCCGCGUGGAGGAUGAAAUAUCUUGGUAUGUAAACUCCUUUCGAUGGGGAAGAUAAUGACGGUACCCAUAGAAGAAGCCCCGGCUAACUUCGUGCCAGCAGCCGCGGUAAUACGAGGGGGGCAAGCGUUGUUCGGAAUUAUUGGGCGUAAAGGGUGCGUAGGCGGUUUGACAAGUCUUAUGUGAAAUCUUCGGGCUCAACCCGAAGUCUGCAUGGGAAACUGUCGGGCUUGAGUAUGGGAGAGGUGAGUGGAAUUUCCGGUGUAGCGGUGAAAUGCGUAGAUAUCGGAAGGAACACCUGUGGCGAAAGCGGCUCACUGGACCAUAACUGACGCUGAUGCACGAAAGCUAGGGGAGCAAACAGGAUUAGAUACCCUGGUAGUCCUAGCCCUAAACGAUGAUUGUUUGAUGUGGGGGUACCCAAUCCUCCCGUGUCGAAGCUAACGCGAUAAACAAUCCGCUGGGGGAGUACGUCGCAGCUGAACUCAAGAUGACGGGGCCGCACAGCGGUGAGCAUGUGUUAUUCGACGCACGCGAGACUUACCUG